rnacentral:rRNA from 1 species
CCUACGGGCGGCAGCAGUGAGGAAUAUUGGUCAAUGGACGAGAGUCUGAACCAGCCAAGUAGCGUGAAGGAUGACUGCCCUAUGGGUUGUAAACUUCUUUUAUAUGGGAAUAAAAUGUUCCACGUGUGGGUUUUUGUAUGUACCAUAUGAAUAAGGAUCGGCUAACUCCGUGCCAGCAGCCGCGGUAAUACGGAGGAUCCGAGCGUUAUCCGGAUUUAUUGGGUUUAAAGGGUGCGUAGGCGGAAUGCCAAGUCAGUGGUAAAAUUUGCGGGCUCAACCUAGAACUGCCGUUGAGACUGGCAGUCUUGAGUAGAGGAGAGGUAUGCGGAAUGCGUGGUGUAGCGGUGAAAUGCUUAGAUAUCACGAAGAACUCCGAUUGCGAAGGCAGCAUACUG